rnacentral:misc_RNA from 1 species
GAAAUGCGAUAAGUAGUGUGAAUUGCAGAAUUCAGUGAAUCAUUGAAUCUUUGAACGCACAUUGCGCCCUUUGGUAUUCCAAAGGGCAUGCCUGUUCGAGCGUCAUUUGUACCCUCAAGCUUUGCUUGGUGUUGGGCGUCUUGUCUCUAGCUUUGCUGGAGACUCGCCUUAAAGUAAUUGGCAGCCGGCCUACUGGUUUCGGAGCGCAGCACAAGUCGCACUCUCUAUCAGCAAAGGUCUAGCAUCCAUUAAGCCUUUUUUCAACUUUUGACCUCGGAUCAGGUAGGGAUACCCGCUGAACUUAAGC